rnacentral:lncRNA from 1 species
CCAAGCAUACACCUUACAAUUAUACUGUAGAGCAAACACAGAAAAUUUUUCUUUUUAUAAUAUAUAUAUAUUUAUAAUAAAGUGAGAAAAGAAUGAAGAAAAUCUAAAGAGAAGAAUCUAAGAAUCUUAAAUUUAUGAAAAGGGAGAAAUUAGUUAAUGUUUAGAUAUUAAUUGCAAUCAACUUAAACAAGCAUAGACUCUCUAUCCUAAGGUUAACAUAGAUCUAGACAGCUCCUAACUUUCAAGACCGCCUUUGAGCACUCCAAGCUCAAGACUGACUAACUGACUCGGCCAGGUAAGCGUAAGAUGUUGGAGGUUCCCUGCUC